rnacentral:tRNA from 1 species
GGUGGCUCAGUGGUAGAGUGCUUGCCUUGCAUGCAUGAGACUCUGGGUUCGAUAAGCCAGCACCA